UACGUAGGGUGCGAGCGUUGUCCGGAAUCAUUGGGCGUAAAGGGCUCGUAGGCGGUCUGUUGCGUCGGGAGUGAAAACUUACAGCUUAACUGUGAGCGUGCUUCCGAUACGGGCAGACUUGAGGUAUUCAGGGGAGAACGGAAUUCCUGGUGUAGCGGUGAAAUGCGCAGAUAUCAGGAGGAACACCGGUGGCGAAGGCGGUUCUCUGGGAAUAUCCUGACGCUGAGGAGCGAAAGUGUGGGGAGCGAACAGG
rnacentral:rRNA from 1 species